ACAAACAAAGAAGCCGUUAUCUAAAUCAGUUAUUUAAAGAAGCAAACCAGGCAAAGUAAAUCAGUUUGUUUGCUGAGCUUCAAGUGGCAAGAUCUCAAGAAACCAACUGAAGAUUAGAGAAUGAUUUCCAAACUGUGUCUGGUUGCCUUUACAUUAACGUUUAUUUGCAUCUCUGCAAAACCUUCAAAUCCUGGAGACUCAUUUCGUCAGCUGGACAACCCGCUGUUGAAAAGAUGUGGUCCUGAUCGAGCUGGCUGCAGCGCUCACAAAGCAUUCUGUCAUGAGGCGGUCAUGAAGGAACAUUGUCCUGCUACUUGCGGCCAGUGUAAAAGAGGAUAUGAAGAUGAUCUGCAGGCGCGUAAGUACAAUUGCUUUCCAGUUAUCAACGUAUUAUUCUGUUAAUUUUUACCUGUCAAAUUUGGUCGC